rnacentral:pre_miRNA from 1 species
AGCUCUCUGUAUCCGUGCUGAGAUUUCGUCAGAGACCAAAUCGUUGGGGCUGAUGCAACUCCCCAAAUAAGUGAAGCG